UACGUAGGGUGCAAGCGUUGUCCGGAUUCAUUGGGAGUAAAGAGCGUGUAGGCGGCCAGGUAGGUCGGUUGUGAAAACUGGAGGCUCAACCUUCAGAGGUCGACCGAAACCAUCUGGCUAGAGUCCGGGAGAGGAGAGUGGAAUUCCUGGUGUAGCAGUGAAAUGCGUAGAGAUCAUGAGGAAGACCAGUGGCGAAGGCGGGUCUCUGGACAGUUCCUGACACUGAGACACGAAGGCCAGGGGAGCAAACGGG
rnacentral:rRNA from 1 species